UGUCGCGUGGGUGCGUGGCUGCCACACCUCCGAGGCGCCACGCCUUCGUCGCGCCUGGCUCCAGCUGCGACCCGAGUGAGGGGCCCUGCGUGCGUCCCCCGAGCGUGCCGCCAUGCUGUUGUGGUUGUGGUCACACCUCGUGGAAGAGCUAGAAGGCCAUGGACAUACGCAGAGGGUGGGGGGGCUGCCUUACCAGCAAUGAGUUUAAAGUGUCCCUUAAAGCUGGAAAAGGACACUAUGGAUAAGCUGCAUCAAAACCCAUAAAAAAAUGUUUGCAGUGAGAAAUAAAGGGCAAUUUAUCAGAUCCUGGAGGAUCAUUCCCUGGUUAUACGUGACACAACGGGCAAUGGUUAAGCUCAAACGGUGGGCUAGCCUUUGGGCUGCAGAAUGUUGGCACGUUACCUUCCUCCUCUUCCCCAUUGCUGCGAAGUGCGUGUUAUAUCUUCCUUGACAGAGAAGACUCAGGCUAAAAGAUAUCCCCAAAGCCCAGAGCUGGUGCCUGGAAGGAUGUGUUUUUGUUUGUUUGUUUGUUUGAAGCAGGUUUCACGCUUAGCGCGGAGCCCAACGUGGGGCUUGAACUCACCGCCCUGAGAUUAAGACCUGAGCUGAGAUCAAGAGUGGGAUGCUUAACCGACUGAGCCACCCGGGCGUCCCCUGGAAGGAUGCGAAGAUAUGUAAGAGUUGUAGAGUCCCUGCUCUUUGCUCUACACCUGCUUGUCCGCCUUGAGUCUCAGUUCACCCUUUGCUCAGGAUGUCGCAAGCCGAGUUCUACAAACCUUAAGAUUCAGAACGAGAUGUCUCACUUAACCAAUUCGUCUUUGCUGCUUUCACAGCCCGCGUUUCGAAUUGAAGAAGAAACUAGAAGGAAGGAAGAAUGGAUUCAGUUUCUGCCCCCCCAGGGUUUACAUUUCGGUGAAUAAGGCGGACAAGACAUCAGGCCGCAUAAAUCGGUGCAUCGAUACGAUGGCGGUGAUGAUGCUGAUUAUUGGUAACGGACUGCGUCUGCCGAGAGCCGUGGGCCCUCAGUCACUCGGCUCAGUGCUUUAAGCGCAUCGACUCUGUCUGGUCGAGAGCACCUGCGUGGAUUCGGUGCUCUAGGUUAAGAGACUGGCCCCAGGUCGCACGGUCGGGGGUGUGGCAGGACGUUUCACGAGUGCGGCGUGCGGCCAGCACCCGGGUGCUUCUUUGCACGCUAUUGCCGUUGGAGACGUCCCGGGUGCGUGCGGAUGAACGGGAGGCGCAGUCAAGCCAGAGUGAGGCCGGCAGGAUUUGAGCGAAACUCAAGGAGAGGAGUGGGAACUAGUGGGAUGCAGGACGGUGAGAUGGAUGGAGGGGGCCACGCGGGCUCAGGGCGGCCUGGAGCUUAGUGCGCUGGGGUCCGGGGAUGCGGGGAAAGGCCUGGGAGGAGGUGGCCGGGGGGAACAGAACGGCGACCACACGCCGCAAACACACGGUCCCGAGCUCGCGAAGAACAGGCGCUGAGAACUCGGGCAAACGUGUGGGAUGCAAAGGCCGGGAAAGCGUCAGGGUCUCCUCUCAGGCUGACCUUUGCGUGGCCCGUGCUGACCUUUCCCUGCUCCGGGUCAGUGCGCGGUGAGCCGGCAUGAGCAGGGCAAACCAGACGGAAUCAUGGAAGGAGGGAGGAGAUGCGGAGGAAAAGGACAAUUAUGGAGCGACUCUUCCCUGGAAGGGUUUGCUAGGUCUCAACCUCGUCCUUCUUGAAACUCUGGCCUUCAGGGCCUCCGGAAGUCCCCCUGGCCUACGCUUCCUCCUGGGCCCGAUGGCUUACUGUCCCAGCCACGGGGGCCUGUAGGCCCACCGUCUCCUCACUCGCUGGCCCCGUCCUGGCUCUCGCCCUGUUCUCCACCAUCACCUGCCCCUGGAGUCAUCAUCAGGAGUCCGGGUCAUGGGCUCCAUUAAACACCUGCCUUUGCAUACCUCACAGGGGCCCACCCCCAAGGACUCUCACACCCCCCUUUCUCUGUAAUGACCCCCCUCGUUAUGGCCUUAUAGCAGACACCUGCCGUGCUCGUGGGUGGCCAUGGCCAACGUCUUUUACAUACUUCGCAUGUAGGAAGUUCACCUCCGCAUUCAGAAGCCAAGCUCUCCAGCCCUGUCCCACGCGGGAAGCACACCCCCGGGGGGGCGAAGGCUUGCCAGUCCCUUCCUUCCGAGGGAGGCCUGGUUUGGAGGUCGCCAGGCGAGCCAGGCUCCACGCGGGGCUUCGGGCCGGCUGAUGCAGCUGGUUUCAGACGGGUCUGGGUUUGGGGGACAGCAGCAUUGACAAGAUGGGAUCCCUGCCCCGGAGGUGACGUCAGGACUCACAGGUCUCACGGCAGGCGGGUCUCCACAUCCUGGGUGUGGCCGCAGAAGCGCUGAGCCCGCGUGGAGCUUUGCUGCCUGGUGUGGCGCGUCCUUGCAGGCGUGGGGGAGGGGAGGUGAUGGAGGCACAGGGGUGGGUUUCCUCUGCCUUUGACUUGACUGCCCUCAGCCUUCCCAGCGAUCAGAGAGGUUCAUAGUCCCUACUAAAGCUGCUUUGUAUACGUGCACUAAAUCAUCCCGUUGCACACCUUUAAAAACAUCACAUGGUACCAAAAAAAUUUUUUUUGUUUUAGAUAAAACAAAACGUUGCCGAGCAGACCCUUGUUCGCAGCAGAAUCUCCAACGGUUGGAGACUUUUGCCUCCUUCCCCGCUGGUGGAGAGUGGAGCUGAGUGCCAGGCUGCCUAGCGGAAUAUCGCUACUAUAUACCUACUUCUGUAGCGUUGGUACUGAUGGCUCACUUUGAUUCAACGGCUGCUCCCCCCCAGACUCUAGUACACGGUCUGGACCUGCACGGACUCAUCUGAUUCCAACGGUAUCCUUCAGUGCACGUUGAUAGCAUUUUCCCCGCUUUACGGUCGAGGAUGUAGACACUUUAGGGAGGCUGUGAUUUCCCGGGUGAAACGCGUAUAUGUAAAUGGCCGAAGCAGGAUUUGCCUCUACGUCUGUCUGACUAUAUUGCUGUCGGCCUUAGGAGGCAGGUUGGCAUGGCCUGAAAUCCUUGGGGGAUUCGGAAAUCCUGGAGUGAGGAUGGAGACCACCACUCUCGCCCGGCAGGUGCCACACGGGGAAAACAGCGGGCGGGCCUCCUUUACACAGGACUAGCAUUCUCCUGGGACUCUGCCUGAGCCCCUAAAAGGACGCCCUUGAAGCUCCGACAGAUGUCUCAAGUUCACACUUCAAAACCCAAAUUCCCGGACCCCCGACACACUCCACACCUGCUCCUCUGACAUCCUUCUCGGUGCUCAGUCCAAACACCCAGGUGCUUCCCUUAACUCCUCUUGGACCCUCCACAUCCACCCUCUCCGUAAGUCCCAUCUGGUACAAAUCAAACCUGUCUGACGCCCCAUCGCUCCUUAGACUCGUCACCGGCACGCGCCCAGACCCGGGCACCCGCACCUGUCACCUGCGUCACAGCAGCCCGUGAACCGGCCUUGUGGCUUCCGUCCUGACCGCCCCUCGGCAUAUUCUCAGGCAGCCGGAGAGAUGUGCUUGAAGACAUGGGCCACGUCCACCGCGUGGAACCGUCUAAUUCCAUCCAGAGAGCAAGUUGCUUACGGGGCCUUCGGGAGCUGGUCUAACUCUUCCUCUCUGGCUUCCUCUCCAUUCUUUCUUCCCUUUGCCCCCCCCCCCCCA